AAUGAACGUUGGCGGCGUGGAUUAGGCACGCAAGUCGAGCGCGAUAUGUAGCAAUACAUGGAGAGCGGCGAAAGGGAGAGUAAUACGUAGAUAUCUACCCUCGGGUCUGGGAUAGCAGCGGGAAACUGCUGGUAAUACCAGAUAACGUCUCCGGACCAAAGGUGUGAUUCCACCUGAGGAGGAGCCUACGGCCUAUUAGCUAGUUGGUAGGGUAACGGCCUACCAAGGCAAAGAUGGGUAUGGGGUGUGAGAGCAUGCCCCCACUCACUGGGACUGAGACACUGCCCAGACACCUACGGGUGGCUGCAGUCGAGAAUCUUCGGCAAUGGGCGAAAGCCUGACCGAGCGACGCCGCGUGCGGGAUGAAGGCCUUCGGGUUGUAAACCGCUGUCGUAGUGGAGGAAAUGUAGGAGAGCUAUCUCUUCUACUUGACUAAUACUAGGAGGAAGGACCGGCUAAUCUCGUGCCAGCCGCCGCAGUAACAC
rnacentral:rRNA from 1 species